rnacentral:misc_RNA from 1 species
UGGUUUGGGCAUCGAUGAAGAACGCAGCGAAAUGCGAUAAGUAAUGUGAAUUGCAGAAUUCCGUGAAUCAUCGAAUCUUUGAACGCACAUUGCGCCCAUCAGUACUCUGGUGGGCAUGCCUGUUCGAGCGUCAUUUCAACCCUCAGGCCUUGUCUUGCCUGGCGUUGGGGCUUUUCUGCGGGCGCCUUUCCAGGUGCCCACAGGCCUCCAAGAUUAGUGGCGGACCCGCCGUGGCUCCGAGCGUAGUAGACUACUUUCUCGCUUGGGAGGCUCGGCGGUCUCCAGCCGUGAAAAACACUAUCUUUUUUUUUAAAAGGUUGACCUCGGAUCAGGUAGGAAUACCCGCUGA